rnacentral:rRNA from 1 species
CACGUAGGGUGCGAGCGUUGUCCGGAAUUACUGGGCGUAAAGAGCUCGUAGGUGGUUUGUCGCGUUGUUCGUGAAAACCUGAGGCUUAACCUUGGGCGUGCGGGCGAUACGGGCAGACUGGAGUACUGCAGGGGAGACUGGAAUUCCUGGUGUAGCGGUGGAAUGCGCAGAUAUCAGGAGGAACACCGGUGGCGAAGGCGGGUCUCUGGGCAGUAACUGACGCUGAGGAGCGAAAGCGUGGGGAGCGAACAGG